CCUACGGGUGGCAGCAGUGAGGGAUAUUGGUCAAUGGGGGAAACCCUGAACCAGCAACGCCGCGUGCGGGAAGACGGUUUUCGGAUUGUAAAGUUCUGUCGCAGGGGACGAAAAUGACGGUACCCUGCAAGAAAGCUCCGGCUAACUACGUGCCAGCAGCCGCGGUAAUACGUAGGGAGCAAGCGUUGUCCGGAAUUACUGGGUGUAAAGGGAGCGUAGGCGGGAGGAUAAGUUGAAUGUGAAAUCUAUGGGCUCAACCCAUAGCUGCGUUCAAAACUGUUCUUCUUGAGUGAAGUAGAGGCAGGCGGAAUUCCUAGUGUAGCGGUGAAAUGCGUAGAUAUUAGGAGGAACACCAGUGGCGAAGGCGGCCUGCUGGGCUUUUACUGACGCUGAGGCUCGAAAGCGUGGGUAGCAAACAGGAUUAGAUACCCCUGUAGUC
rnacentral:rRNA from 1 species